UACGGGGGGAGCAAGCGUUGUUCGGAUUUACUGGGCGUAAAGGGCGCGUAGGCGGUCAGCACAAGUCAAUUGUGAAAUCUCCGGGCUUAACUCGGAAAGGUCAACUGAUACUGUGCGACUAGAGUGCAGAAGGGGCAACUGGAAUUCUCGGUGUAGCGGUGAAAUGCGUAGAUAUCGAGAGGAACACCUGCGGCGAAGGCGGGUUGCUGGGCUGACACUGACGCUGAUGCGCGAAAGCCAGGGGAGCGAACGGG
rnacentral:rRNA from 1 species